ACAGCAAAGUGGAGCCUGAGAACAGUCAUCGGAUCAGUCAGGACUCAACCAAGAGAAGCAUCGCUGUGGAUGAGAUCGCCUCAAUGGGAAAUGUCCGUCUCAGCAACAAAUCCAAAAUGACCAACAACUGAAAGGCUGGGAAAUACACAUACAAGUCAACAACAGAGAAAAAACAAUACACCCACUUGGCAAUUUUUCUCUCUCUCCAGGGAUGACUCUCAAAGUGAGUUUGUCUUAAUAUCUCGACUUGAGUUUCUCAAAUGUUUUAAAUAUAUGUUUUGUAUUGUUUGUUAUUCAGUGUAGAAUUUCCCACUCCAUUUUUCUAAAAUAAGGAAACAAGAUGAAUACAUGUUUGAUUUUAAGCCUGUGGAACUCCAGUCCAUGAGCUGAUGUGUAUUUUUCCUUUGAAAAAUGUAACUAACAAAUCUAACAAAUAUGUUUUUUUUAUUUGAGCUGUGAGAUACAAUUGCACUAUGUAUAAAUAACUACAAAUUUGUAUGAAGAGAUAUUUGUUAGUUGUUUUUCAAUCACUCAAUCUUAUUUUAUUUUCAAAACAAAAUACAUUUCAAAUAAGAAAUGAACAAUAACAGAAAUAUGGUCAGGAAUGUUGAAAUGCAACUUUGAAAAAACUUUUUUUCCUUGACAAUAAAUGCAGUUGUCAUCAAUGAUUUUGUGUCUGAUGAAAAGUUUGUCUAUCAAAACAAUAAAAAUUCCGUUAAUAAAUGACA